GGGGGGGGGGGGGGGGGGGCGGUGGGCGUGCAGGGCGAACGGUAGCAGGCGGCGAGGGGCUGACGAGUGGCGCACGGGUGAGUAAGGCAUCGGAACGUGCCCAGUCGUGGGGGAUAACUACUCGAAAGAGUAGCUAAUACCGCAUACGAUCUAUGGAUGAAAGCGGGGGACCGUAAGGCCUCGCGCGAUUGGAGCGGCCGCUGUCAGAUUAGGUAGUUGGUGGGGUAAAGGCUCACCAAGCCAACGAUCUGUAGCUGGUCUGAGAGGACGACCAGCCACACUGGGACUGAGACACGGCCCAGACUCCUACGGGAGGCAGCAGUGGGGAAUUUUGGACAAUGGGCGCAAGCCUGAUCCAGCAAUGCCGCGUGCAGGAAGAAGGCCUUCGGGUUGUAAACUGCUUUUGUACGGAACGAAACGGCUCUGGUUAAUACCCGGGGCUAAUGACGGUACCGUAAGAAUAAGCACCGGCUAACUACGUG
rnacentral:rRNA from 1 species